rnacentral:lncRNA from 1 species
AGGAUUAUUUUACCUUUACAUUAAUAAUAUUGAAGAAACUUAUGUUAAUUUUUAGUUGUUUAUUUAUUACUUUUAAAAUAAAUCAGGCAAUAGAUUAAAUUGAUGCAUAGUAAGAAUUAAAUAUUUCAUAUUUUCUUGCAUUUGUGCUGUAUGUAUAUAUAAUCUAUUAAUUUUCCUUCACUUAUAAUAAUUUGAAAAUUAUAUCUAAAAAUUAAAAAUUUUAAUUUUAAUAUUAAUUUAAUUAAAAAGAUGAUAGUUUGAGACCUUUGAUAUCUUUCGAACUUAUUAAGAAAAAGAGAUAAUCUGUUCUUUGAAAACAAAAUAUCAAAAUUUGAUACCUCUGUAUUAGUCAUAUUAUAUUAUCAAAGACAUUAAUCUAGAAAACAAAUUAAAAAUACAAUAUACUCAUAUGUUACUAAACCAAAAUAAGAAAAGAAUAGAUAUUGAUAGAAGAUGGAAUAG